GAUGAACGCUAGCGGCAGGCUUAACACAUGCAAGUCGAGGGGCAGCGCGAUGUAGCAAUACAUUGGCGGCGACCGGCGCACGGGUGCGUAACACGUAUGGAAUCUGCCCUGUACUGGAAGAUAACCCGGCGAAAGUCGGACUAAUAUCCCAUAAUAGCCGAGGUGGCAUCACCUUGGUUUGAAAGCUCCGGCGGUACAGGAUGACCAUGCGCACGAUUAGCUAGUUGGUGAGGUAACGGCUCACCAAGGCUACGAUCGUUAGGGGGCCUGAGAGGGUUAUCCCCCACACUGGUACUGAGACACGGACCAGACUCCUACGGGAGGCAGCAGUGAGGAAUAUUGCGCAAUGGAGGCAACUCUGACGCAGCCAUGCCGCGUGCAGGAAGAAGGCGCUACGCGUUGUAAACUGCUUUUAUCCGGGAAGAAACCCCAGGACGUGUCCUGGGUUGACGGUACCGGAGGAAUAAGCACCGGCUAACUUCGUGCCAGCA
rnacentral:rRNA from 1 species